UUCUCAUAUGUGGGGGAGGGAGACAGUGCUCCUGAAGGUAGGAGUCUAUCAAUUGAUGAAGAUGAUCAUCCAAAUGUCAUAGACCAAAUGGAGUAAACAGCACGCAGACCUAGUGGUGGGAGGAAAAAAUCCUUAAAUAAGAGACACGGGGGAAUGAUUAAUGGACUUCAAUGUCUGUACACUAAUGCGCAAAGCAUGGCAAAUAAACAAGAUGAGCUUGAGCUCUUGGUACAGCAAACUAAAUAUGACAUAAUAGGCAUCACUGAAACCUGGUGGGAUAAGUCCCACGAUUGGAAUGUAAUAAUGGAGGGAUACAAUCUAUUUCAGAGAAACAGACCAGACAAGAAAGGAGGAGGAGUGGCGUUAUAUGUCAGGGAUGUGUAUACCUGUGAAGAGAUCCAAGAUUUAGAA